CUUGGUCAAUUACAAGGGAAACCAAUAUGCGACGGUUGGGACCGGUUAUCAGAUUCCCUGGGAGGGGCGUUCCGACCUGCCAAAUUUCAAGCCGGGUGUGUCCAAGCGUUUUUUCCUUGGGCCGGCCGACUCGAAAAUCGAUCGCGAUUUCAAUGCCCAGUCGUACUGGCUCGACCACCGCUUCUCGUCGAAUCUCUACGUUCAGCUCG
rnacentral:misc_RNA from 1 species